UACGGAAGGCAGCAGUGGGGAAUAUUGCACAAUGGGCGAAAGCCUGAUGCAGCUAUGCCGCGUGUAUGAAGAAGGCCUUAGGGUUGUAAAGUACUUUCAUCGGGGAGGAAAAACAAAACUAAUAAUUUUAUUUCUUGACGUUACCCGAAAAAGAAGCACCGGCUAACUCCGUGCCAGCAGCCGCGGUAAUACGGAGGGUGCUAGCGUUAAUCAGAAUUACUGGGCGUAAAGAGCACGUAGGUGGUUUUUUAAGUUCAGAUGUGAAAUCCCUGGGCUUAACCUAGGAACUGCAUUUUGAAACUGAAAUACUAGAGUAUCGUAGAGGGAGGUAGAAUUCUAGGUGUAGCGGUGAAAUGCGUAGAUAUCUGGAGGAAUACCUGUGGCGAAAGCGGCCUCCUAAACGAAUACUGACACUGAGGUGCGAAAGCGUGGGGAGC
rnacentral:rRNA from 1 species